rnacentral:rRNA from 1 species
GACGAACGCUGGCGGCGUGCUUAACACAUGCAAGUCGAACGGUGAAGGGACCAGCUUGCUGGUUCUGGAUGAGUGGCGAACGGGUGAGUAACACGUGAGUAACCUGCCCCCUUCUUCUGGAUAACCGCAUGAAAGUGUGGCUAAUACGGGAUAUUCUGGGUCUGUCGCAUGGCGGGCCCGGGAAAGAUGUUGUUUCGGUGGGGGAUGGGCCCGCGGCCUAUCAGCUUGUUGGUGGGGUGAUGGCCUACCAAGGCGGUGACGGGUAGCCGGGCGGGGGGGGGGGCCGGUCAGAAUGGGACUGCGGCACAGACUAGACGGGUACGGGAGGGAGCGGUAGCGAAUGUAGCACAAGGGGGGUAAGCGUGAUGCAGCGACGUCGGGUGAGGGAGUCUUGCCUUCGGGUUGUAAUCCUCUUUCGCCAGUAAAGCUGUCCAGCUACUUGUGCGUGUGUUGACGGUAGCUGGACAAGAAGCGCCGGCUAACUACGUG